rnacentral:lncRNA from 1 species
UAUGAACUAGGGAUACAAUUUAAUUUUUUUAAGAUGGUUGCCCACUUAUUGCAACAUCAUUUAUUGUGUAAUCCACCUUUUAUUUAUUGAUUUGUAGCUAGUCUAUUUUGAAACUUUUAGGCCUUUCAGUAAACUCAAUUCAUUGUCUAAUACCACACUGUUUUAAUUAUUAUAGCUUUAAAAUAUGCCUUACUGUCUGGUUGGGAUAAUUUCUUGCUAGUACUCUUUUUCAUGAUUUUUUAUUAUUCUUGCCAUUUUUUUCAUAUGAGCUCUAGAAUCAAUUUUUUUUUCAAAAGAAAAACAAAUCUGCUUUCUGUUUUUAGUAGAGUGAAUUAAAUUUCCAUAUUAAUUUAGGGAGAUUUGACUUAACAUGUUGGAUGUUGAUUUCACAGAUGGUAGCUCGUCGUUUUGGCUCCUUAGCCAAGCAUGUCAUCAACUGUCUGAAUUGUGGUUGCUUCCAUAGUGAUCCAAGAAACUGUUUCUUUGCUAUGAGCCUAUAAACACACCAAGUGGGCAGUUUUGAAAAGGAGAAUGUUCAUAAAUCACAGGAACAGGAAACGGACCACUAGGGGGGAUUGUUAGGCCAUUUUGUGCAAAAAAGAAUGACUUGUAACUUUUGAAAAUGACUGCAGUUUCUUUCUUUUAAAUUGUCUUUAGUCAACUUUAAGCAGGCGCCGCACACCAAAACUGGAAUUCAAUCUCAGGAAGCAAACUCAUAUCUCCCCC